rnacentral:rRNA from 1 species
GGGGUAAACCUGCGAAACUCGAAUGAACGAACGGAGAGAUUCAUCGUCACUCCGCGGCGUACGGACGCGCGCCUCGAUGUCGUCGACCUCGGUCGGCAGGCACGGGUCGCGUCCGUCGACGUCCGCGGACGGCGUGCACUUCUCUCUUAGUAAAUGCAUCGCGACCCGUUCGAUGUCGGUCUAAGCGCCGUUCGGGAGCCCCAUCGUCCCUUCGCGGGGGCGGUGGGACCGUGACGGACGCCGACCGGCGGUCGGACGGUAGUGUAUAUGAAACGCGCACGCGUCUUCGGCGCGUCCGGCCCGACGCAAGUCAACGUCGUAUCCGACGUACCGCCCGAGCGCGGACGUAGGUGCGGCGCGUCUGUCGUCGCAGCCGUGUUGUCUCGGACUGUGCGCGUCUCAGUCGGCGAUGAUUCAGUUUCGGGCACUCGCAGGACCCGUCUUGAAACACGGACCAAGGAGUCUAGCAUGUAUGCGAGUCAUUGAGAUUAUUAAACUGAAAGGCGCAACGAAAGUGAAGGCGCGCGCUCGUCGCGCGCUCAGGGAGGAUGGAGCUUCGAUCUAGGUCGAUCUCUCGCACUCCCGAGGCGUCUCGUUUCCAAUCCGUGAAUGCAGGCGCGCUC